AUUGAACGCUGGCGGCAUGCUUUACACAUGCAAGUCGAACGGCAGCACGGACUUCGGUCUGGUGGCGAGUGGCGAACGGGUGAGUAAUACAUCGGAACGUGCCCAGUUGUGGGGGAUAACUACUCGAAAGAGUAGCUAAUACCGCAUGAGAACUGAGGUUGAAAGCAGGGGAUCGUAAGACCUUGCGCAACUGGAGCGGCCGAUGGCAGAUUAGGUAGUUGGUGGGAUAAGAGCUUACCAAGCCGACGAUCUGUAGCUGGUCUGAGAGGACGACCAGCCACACUGGGACUGAGACACGGCCCAGACUCCUACGGGAGGCAGCAGUGGGGAAUUUUGGACAAUGGGCGAAAGCCUGAUCCAGCAAUGCCGCGUGCAGGAUGAAGGCCUUCGGGUUGUAAACUGCUUUUGUACGGAACGAAAAGCUUCGGGUUAAUACCCUGGAGUCAUGACGGUGCCGUAAGAAUAAGCACCGGCUAACUCUGUGCCAGCAGCCGCGGUAAUACAGAGGGUGCAAGCGUUGUUCGGAAUUAUUGGGCGUAAAGCGCGUGUAGGCGGCCUGGCAAGUUGGGUGUGAAAGCCCUCGGCUUAACCGAGGAAGUGCGCCCAAAACUACGAGGCUUGAGUACCGGAGAGGGUGGCGGAAUUCCCGGUGUAGAGGUGAAAUUCGUAGAUAUCGGGAGGAACACCAGUGGCGAAGGCGGCCACCUGGACGGAUACUGACGCUGAGACGCGAAAGCGUGGGUAGCAAACAGGAUUAGAUACCCUGGUAGUCCACGCCGUAAACGAUGAGCGCUAGGUGUUGCGGGUGUUGACCCCUGCAGUGCCGCAGCUAACGCAUUAAGCGCUCCGCCUGGGAAGUACGGCCGC
rnacentral:rRNA from 1 species